CGUAGGGGGCAAGCGUUGUCCGGAUUUAUUGGGCGUAAAGCGCGUGUAGGCGGCCACGCAGGUCCGUUGUGAAAACUCGAGGCUCAACCUCGAGACGUCGAUGGAAACCGUGUGGCUAGAGUCCGGAAGAGGAGUGUGGAAUUCCCGGUGUAGCGGUGAAAUGCGCAGAUAUCGGGAAGAACACCCAUGGCGAAGGCAGCACUCUGGGACGGUACUGACGCUGAGACGCGAAAGCGUGGGGAGCGAACAGGAUUAGAUACCCUGGUAGUCCACGCCGUAAACGAUGGAUGCUAGGUGUGGGUGGUGUCGACUCCAUCCGUGCCGAAGCUAACGCAUUAAGCAUCCCGCCUGGGGAGUACGGCCGCAAGGCUA
rnacentral:rRNA from 1 species